GGGGUUGUCGUUCAACCUGGUAGGACUUACGCCUCCAGAGCGUAUAACUAGGGUUCAAAUCCCUACAACCCCA
rnacentral:tRNA from 1 species